UUGAGGCACCCCAUUCAUCCCACAAUUGGAACAAUACAGAAAAGAUUAGCAUGGCCCCCUGUACAAGGAACACAUGCAAAUUCAUGGAGCAUUCCAUUUUUUU